GGCUACGUAGCUCAGUUGGUUAGAGCACAGCACUCAUAAUGCUGGGGUCACAGGUUCGAAUCCCGUCGUAGCCACCA
rnacentral:tRNA from 2 species